AUGCCCUUGAGCGGCCCGUCGGCGGCCUUGCGGAACGCCGCAUUCACGUCGUCGGCGGUGAUGCCGGUCUUGACGGUGUUGAUGACGAGGUCCACCACGGAGACGUUGGGCGUGGGCACGCGGAGCGCGAUGCCGUUGAGCUUGCCCUUGAGCUGGGGCAGCACCAGGGAGACGGCCUUGGCCGCGCCCGUGCUCGUCGGCACGAUGUUCAGCGCCGCCGCCCUCGCCCUCCGCAGAUCGCGGUGGGACGCGUCCAGCAGCCUCUGGUCGCCCGUGUACGAGUGCGUCGUGGUCAUGGUGCCCUUCACGAUCCCUGCACGCACGCGGUCACCACGGGACAGUCAGAACUGGUUCAGAACUUCAGACCAGGAUGAAAAAAGUGGGACGAACAGGUUCAUACCGAACUCCUCGUCCAGGAUUUUGGCGAAUGGCGCGAGGCAGUUGGUGGUGCAAGAAGCGUUGCUGCAAGGAACAGAGUUGAUCAAUUUGGUCCAUGUAGUAGGAGCGACUGAUUGCACUAGAAAAUAUUGCGAUUCAUACCUGACGAUGUUGGCGACGUCAUGGUCGUAG
rnacentral:rRNA from 1 species